AACUUUCAACAACGGAUCACUUGGUUCUCGCAUCGAUGAAGAACGCAGCGAAUUGCGAUAUGUAAUGUGAAUUGUAGAAUUCAGUGAAUCAUCGAAUCUUUGAACGCACCUUGCGCCCUUUGGUAUUCCGAAGGGCAUGCCUGUUUGAGUGUCAUUAAAUUCUCAACUUCAACACUUUUGUAUUGAAGCUUGGAUGUUGGAGGGUUUGCAGGCAUAUUAAUGUCAGCUCCUCUUUAAUGCAUUAGCAGAACUUGUAUGUUUGGCUCUGGUUUGAUAAUCCUAUCUAUGCCAUUGCUGAAAUGUCUAUGUUCAGCUUCUAAUGGUCCAUCUUAUUGGACUGUCUCUUCGGAGGCAUAUUUUUGACUUGACCUCAAAUCAGGUAGGACUACCCGCUGAACUUAAGCAUAUCAAUAAGCGGAGGCU
rnacentral:misc_RNA from 1 species